rnacentral:rRNA from 1 species
CCUACGGGAGGCAGCAGUGGGGAAUAUUGCACAAUGGGGGAAACCCUGAUGCAGCAACGCCGCGUGAGUGAAGAAGUAUUUCGGUAUGUAAAGCUCUAUCAGCAGGGAAGAGAAUGACGGUACCUGACUACGAAGCCCCGGCUAACUACGUGCCAGCAGCCGCGGUCAUCCGGAGGGGAGGAGCGUUAUCCGGAUUUACUGGGUGUAAAGGGGGCGUAGACGGUUCUGAAAGUCUGAAGGGAAAGCCCGGGGCUUAACCGCGGAACGGCCUUGGAAACUGUGGAACUGGAGUGCGGGAGAGGCAAGCGGAAUUCCUGGUGUAGCGGUGAAAUGCGUAGAUAUUAGGAGGAACACCAGUGGCGAAGGCGGCUUGCUGGACAGUAACUGACGUUGAGGCUCGAAAGCGUGGGGAGCAAACAGGAUUAGAUACCCUAGUAGUC